GUUAUGUGUUAGACUCUUGAGAGAGGUUUAAAUGCACUCGGCUCAGGAACAACAAGGUUGUGUUAGGGAGGUGACAAAGUUGAUUGUAGCAUCAUAAACCAGUGUCGUCUACUCAGUGAAUACCUGAUUAGUCAGUAUUCAUAUGGAAAGAUGGCUGUGGACAGGCCAUGGCUUAAAAACAUCUGAUAUAUGCUUACCUGUGCUUCAAGCAAAUUUCUUUUCGAAUCCUGGUCCUAAGGGAGUCUUGCAACACUUGAUUGACUUUCCCAUAUUUCAUUAAGUCUUUAUUUUGAAUCAUUGUUGUAUAUUCAUCUGGAGAAUGCAAGAAAUGAUUUAUAUGAUUUGAUAAUCCAAUAUAGCUAGCAUUGUCCAAAGUUUAAUUUUUACUCUGCUGAAUAAACAGAAAUUUAUAGAAAUGCCAUAAAAAUGCAAUGAAUAUUGUUUUCAAUGGUAGCUUCUUGUUCUGAUAUCUAUUUUCAUUUGUAUAAUUGGCCAUUGAGUAACUAGGUGGGAAGUUGAAUGCAUAAUUAAUCACCAUGACUGGCAAUGAAAACCUUAUAAUCGGAUAUUCCAAUGAACUGAGCAUGAAUUGGUAGGUUGGUCCUGUUAUGAUGUUGGAAAAGAUGCAUUUCAACUUGCAGCUUAAGUCUGUUGCAAAAUCAUGUACUCAAGACUCGAGGGCUCUUUUUUUUAAAAAAAAACAUAAGCUGAUCUGUUCUUGUUAAUCCCUCUCUCCACACAUUAUUUUUGGCAUUUUAUUUGUUUAAUUCAAAAACUAAAAAAAAAGUUUACAAAUGAGGAACCUGCAAAUGAAGAACAUAUUUCUUUAUAUUCAACUUUUGCAACAUAGAUGUAUCUUAAAUCCCACCAAAAACAGACAAAAACAUUCAGGAAUUCUUUUUGUCCCAAAAACAUGAUGGAAAGGAUUGCUGGAAAUCUGAAAUAAAAUCAGAAAAUGGUGGCAAUGUACUUUGUCAGCAGCUGCAAAAGGAAGAUGGCCAAGUACCUUAGACUUGUACUCAUUUCAAAUUCUGCAUUUUUUAUUUUUCAUAUCCUUUUCAAAAAUGGUUCUCUCAGUUUUCUGUCACUUUCAAACCACGAAAAACCAGAAUUUAAACCUGUUCAGUGACUUUUCAGUCUGUUGGAUGAACCUUACCUGCAUUUUUAGUGAGUUGUUCUAUUUUUCCUCUCACAUUCUAGAAUAGUUCUAAUUUUUAUUUGUUGAAAGUAGCAUCUAAAUCUGAUUCUAUAUUUUUACCUCUGGUUGAGAUACAAAUUCCAUAUCUGAGGAUGGAGCAGUGCUUGCCAUAUUGCCGCGACAUCUAUCUUUGCUGCGACAUCUAUCUUUGCUGCGACAUCUAUCUUUGCUGCGACAUCUGUCUUUGCUGCGACAUCUAUCUUUGCUGCGACAUCUAUCUUUGCUGCUACAGCUAUCUUUGCUGUGACAUCUAUCUUUGGAUGUUCAUAAUGAAAACACAGAAUCUGUGCCAAUUCCAGAACAGACCAAAUGUGUCUGCAAGAGAGAUUGACCUCCUGAGUUAACUUGUCUGUCUUCUCUCUACCAGCAAAGUUACACCACUUUUGUGAUGCAGGGCUUUCUUUUGGAUGGCUUGCUCUGAACUGAUACAAGAACAUUUCAGCUCAAUCCACUUUAAAUAAAAAAAUGUUCUCACAAGUUUCUUUGUCAAGGAAAAUAAAUAUUUUGUGCUUCUAAACAGUUCACAUUGUAUUUAAAUAAAAGUUCUUUAUCAUACACAUGACUAACACAGAUUUUAUAGUUUCAGGUGAAAGAAAUCACAUUUAAUGUUGAUUGGUUUAUGAUUUUUAUAUAGAAUCUUGUUCACUGAUGUUUCACUUUCCAAACUGCAAUAAACCUAAUCAUAAAUGCAAA